GUGGGGAAUAUUCCGCAAUGGACGAAAGUCUGACGGAGCAACGCCGCGUGAGUGAUGAAGGUUUUCGGACUGUAAAGCUCUGUUGUUUAGGACGAAAGUGCCUGUUGCAAAUAGUUACAGGUAUUGACGGUACUGAACGAGGAAGCCACGGCUAACUACGUGCCAGCAGCCGCGGUAAUACGUAGGUGGCAAGCGUUGUCCGGAAUUAUUGGGCGUAAAGAGCAUGUAGGCGGGAAUCUAAGUCUGUUGUGAAAAUGCGGGGCUCAACCCCGUAUUGCGAUGGAAACUGGGUUUCUGGAGUGCAGGAGAGGAAAGGGGAAUUCCCAGUGUAGCGGUGAAAUGCGUAGAUAUUGGGAGGAACACCAGUGGCGAAGGCGCCUUUCUGGACUGUGUCUGACGCUGAGAUGCGAAAGCCAGGGUAGCGAACGGGAUUAGAUACCCUAGUAGUCC
rnacentral:rRNA from 1 species